UAGAGUUUGAUCCUGGCUCAGGAUGAACGCUGGCGGCGUGCUUAAUACAUGCAAGUCGAACGGGGUUUGGUUGGUAGUAAUACUGAUCAGACUUAGUGGCGAACGGGCGAGUAACGAGUUGGCGACCUGCCCCGAAGAGAGGGAUAACAUGCCGAAAGGGAUGCUAAUACCUCAUAAUAUCCCGAUAGUUAGAGAAUUGGGAAGAAAGUGGAGACACGCUUUGGGAGGGGCCUGCCUCCCAUCAGCUAGUUGGAGUGGUAACGGCACACCAAGGCGACGACGGGUAAGGGACCUGAGAGGGUGGUCCCUCGCAAUGGCACUGAAACACGGGCCAUACACCUACGGGUGGCAGCAGUAGGGAAUAUUGGGCAAUGGGCGAAAGCCUGACCCAGCAACGCCGCGUGCGCGAAGAAGGCCUUCGGGUCGUAAAGCGCUUUUCUGAGGGAUGAGAAAGGACAGUACCUCAGGAAUAAGCCUCGGCUAACUACGUGCCAGCAGCCGCGGUAAAACGUAGGAGGCGAGCGUUAUCCGGAUUUACUGGGCGUAAAGCGUGUGCAGGCGGUCUGGCAAGUUGGAUGUGAAAGCUCCUGGCUCAACUAGGAGAGGUCGUUCAAAACUCCCGGACUAGAGUGUAUCAGAGGAAGAUGGAAUUCCCGGUGUAGUGGUGAAAUGCGAAGAUAUCCGGAGGAACCCCAGUGGCCAAAACCAAUCUUCCUGGAAUAUUACUGGACCCUCCCACACGAAAGCUAAGGUAGCGAACGGGAUUAGAGACCCCGGUAGUCCUUAGCAGUAAACGAUGUAGACUUGGUGUCGGAGGUGUAAUAGCCUUCGGUAUCGAAGCAAACGCGAUAAGUCUACCGCCUGGGGACUACGGCCGCAAGGUUAAAACUCAAAGGAAUUGACGGGGGCCCGCACAAGCAGCGGAGCGUGUGGUUUAAUUCGAUGCUACACGAAGAACCUUACCCAGGUUUGACAUGCAAGUGGUAGUGAGGGGAAACCUGAACGACCCUUCGGGGAGCUUGCACAGGUGCUGCAUGGCUGUCGUCAGCUCGUGUCGUGAGAUGUUCGGUUAAGUCCGCUAACGAGCGCAACCCUCGCCGUAUGUUACAAGUGUCAUGCGGGACCGCCGGUAUCAAGCCGGAGGAAGGUGGGGAUGACGUCAAGUCAGCAUGGCCUUUAUGUCUGGGGCUACACACACGCUACAAUGGCCGGUACAAUGGGUAGCCAAAUCGCGAGAUGGAGCCAAUCCCGGAAAGCCGGUCUCAGUUCAGAUCACAGGCUGCAACCCGCCUGUGUGAAGUUGGAGUUGCUAGUAAACGCGCGUCAGCUAUAGUGCGUUGAAUACGUUCUCGGGCCA
rnacentral:rRNA from 1 species